GAGUUUGAUCAUGGCUCAGAACGAACGCUGGCGGCAGGCUUAACACAUGCAAGUCGAACGCCCCGCAAGGGGAGUGGCAGACGGGUGAGUAACGCGUGGGAACAUACCCUUUCCUGCGGAAUAGCUCCGGGAAACUGGAAUUAAUACCGCAUACGCCCUACGGGGGAAAGAUUUAUCGGGGAAGGAUUGGCCCGCGUUGGAUUAGCUAGUUGGUGGGGUAAAGGCCUACCAAGGCGACGAUCCAUAGCUGGUCUGAGAGGAUGAUCAGCCACAUUGGGACUGAGACACGGCCCAAACUCCUACGGGAGGCAGCAGUGGGGAAUAUUGGACAAUGGGCGCAAGCCUGAUCCAGCCAUGCCGCGUGAGUGAUGAAGGCCUUAGGGUUGUAAAGCUCUUUCACCGGAGAAGAUAAUGACGGUAUCCGGAGAAGAAGCCCCGGCUAACUUCGUGCCAGCAGCCGCGGUAAUACGAAGGGGGCUAGCGUUGUUCGGAAUUACUGGGCGUAAAGCGCACGUAGGCGGAUAUUUAAGUCAGGGGUGAAAUCCCAGAGCUCAACUCUGGAACUGCCUUUGAUACUGGGUAUCUUGAGUAUGGAAGAGGUAAGUGGAAUUCCGAGUGUAGAGGUGAAAUUCGUAGAUAUUCGGAGGAACACCAGUGGCGAAGGCGGCUUACUGGUCCAUUACUGACGCUGAGGUGCGAAAGCGUGGGGAGCAAACAGGA
rnacentral:rRNA from 1 species